AGUGUAGGACGAGCUGCAGCGGGGAUAACUUCAAGGACAAGAUCAAGGAGAACUAGGAAAAGAUCAACCUGAAGAACCAGCUACCCUACAACAUUGGCAACACCGCCUAGGUUGUUGUAGUUUGUUGACUAGAGACCAUCAGGAGGAAGUCACCUGAGGAGGGAGACAGAUGGACAAGAGAUGAACUCCUGGACUUGCUUGCUGCUAUGCCAUGGAGCUCCGGGUAUGAAAUUUGUAGUGUGAAGCCGUAAAGCCCCAUCUCCAGUGCCAUCUCUGGUUCUUCCUCGGCCCUGUGGGAGGUGCCUUAUGCAAUGUCGAGCACCUGGUUCUUCCUCGACGCCGUGGGAGGUGCCUUGUGCAAUGUCGAGCACCACGGCGGACACAACAUGUUGCCAAUAAAACCUUCAUCAACCACAACCCCACAACAAGGCCCUCGAGGUUUGUGUCCUCCUCUCUUUCCAAAUUACUGAAAUGAAAAUGGCUAGACUGGAUGUUUCUCAUGUAUAUCUAUUGCAAGGCAGCCAUUCCUAGAACCUUCGCGGGGUCUGGCUCAUCCUGGGCCUCAUCAAGGCUUCGAGUAGUUUCUAUCAACCUAGUAUGUUUUAUUUC